rnacentral:rRNA from 1 species
CCUACGGGUGGCAGCAGUGGGGAAUAUUGCACAAUGGGGGAAACCCUGAUGCAGCGACGCCGCGUGAGUGAAGAAGUAUUUCGGUAUGUAAAGCUCUAUCAGCAGGGAAGAGAAUGACGGUACCUGAGCAAGAAGCCCUGGCUAACUACGUGCCAGCAGGCGCGGUAAUACGGAGGGGGCAAGCGUUAUCCGGAUUUACUGGGUGUAAAGGGAGCGUAGACGGCGAGGAAAGUCUGAAGUGAAAGCCCGCGGCUCAACCGAGGAACUGCUUUGGAAACUUUUUUGCUGGAGUACCGGAGAGGAUAGCGGAAUUCCUAGUGUAGGAGUGAAAUGCGUAGAUAUUAGGAGGAACACCAGUGGCGAAGGCGACUUACUGGACGGUAACUGACGUUGAGGCUCGAAAGCGUGGGGAGCAAACAGGAUUAGAUACCCGAGUAGUC